GGAGGUGUGGGCUUAAUGGAGAAUAAUGAGGAAGGGGCAAUACCAGGCAGAGAGGUGAGGAUGGGCCAGAUUAAGGGCAAGGAGGGAGGGUGAGUAUGAAGGUUCGGCGCCAGAGAAGAGGGUGAAAGGCGGGGCUGGUGAACGCAGCAGAUUCUGCAAAUGCUAGAAAUCUCGGGUAGCAUUCACACAAAAUGCUCAACAAUUCAGGCAGCGUCUAUGGAGGGGAAUAAACCGUCGAUGUUUCGGACUGCGGCCCUUCAUAAUACCGAGGCGGUGGAAAGGGAUGGAGUGGAAUCUGACGGGGAAAUGCGGAGGAGGAGGAGGAGCUGAGUGCCAGGCUGUGAUUGCAAUAUUCCGGCUGAUGUUAGGCUGCCUUUAAAGAAGGGGACCCCUUGCAAGGCCGAAGGCCCCAACGCAGUACCUGGCUGGAGGUAUGGUAGCAUUGGGACAAGAUCUGUUAGGAUAGGAAACAGCUUCUUCCCCCAGGCCAUUGGACUACCACACAGUUCCACCCUCUCGAUGUAUGACUCACAGCCUUCAUUAGCGCUAUCAAGUUCAUCAUCUUUCCCGGUUGAAGCCUUUGCUACGGGGACAUCCAGAGUGGUCUGGUUGAUGUGUUGCAUCAUCCCAACCUGAUUGACAUCUGAGACCCCGUGAGUGGGGAUAAAAGUAGGGUCUGGGGCAACACCCCUCAGACGCACCAGGAGAGACGCUACGAGACUGGUGGGGGCUUGAGUGUGUGUCCAUCCUUGCCUGGGUGACGAGUCCUCCACGGAACGGUCUAGCUAAAGGAUGGAGGAGUCAUACGUGAAUGGCCACAACAAUAACGCAUCGACGGAUCAAGAUCGUAAAAGGAAAGUCGGCAAGUCAAUAGCUGUUACUCUCUCUUUCUCCAACAAUUACAACACAGUGAUCAACAACUACCGCAGCCUGCAUGAACUGAACUGAACUUUAUAUUUCCAUCGUACAAUUCAUUAUCCCCUAGACAAUGAUAGAGCUUAUUUCUUAUUAUUAUUAUACCCGCACUUUAUGGUUUAGAAUUGAUGACGUAUAUUAUCUGUAUAUUUGCAUUGAUAUUAUUUCUGUGUAUUUUUACUAAUAAAUACUGUUAAAAAUAGUA